UACGUAGGGUGCAGGCGUUAAUCGGAAUUACUGGGCGUAAAGCGUGCGCAGGCGGUUUUGUAAGUCUGUCGUGAAAUCCCCGGGCUCAACCUGGGAAUUGCAUUUGUGACUGCACGGCUAGAGUGUGUCAGAGGGGGGUAGAAUUCCACGUGUAGCAGUGAAAUGCGUAGAGAUGUGGAGGAAUACCGAUGGCGAAGGCAGCCCCCCUGGGGAUAACACUGACGCUCAUGCACGAAAGCGUGGGGAGCAAACAGG
rnacentral:rRNA from 1 species